rnacentral:rRNA from 1 species
ACCCAGUUCGGAUUGUAGGCUGCAACUCGCCUACAUGAAGUCGGAGUUGCUAGUAAUCGCGGAUCAGAAUGCCGCGGUGAAUGCGUUCCCGGGUCUUGUACACACCGCCCGUCACACCAUGAAAGUUGGGGGCGCCCGAAGUUGGUCGGGAAAUAGAUUACCUAAGGCGAAACCAAUGACUGGGGUGAAGUCGUAACAAGGUACC